GGACACAGAAGUUUGAGGCACAUAUAUACAUAACUGUCAUACUGCUUUUUUUUAAUCGAAAGCCUAUUUACACAACUACCUGACCGUACAGACUAUUUGUUUUCGAUGCAUUUCGUUUCGUCCGUCGAUGAGAUUAAGGUUAGAAAACGACGGAUGUUAAAUCUUUGAUGCUCGUUAUUUUCGUUGGUCUGAAAAAGCUUAUGAACAUUUCGACGUCUGCAUGGAGCGAUGACCGUUCGUCAAGAGAGCUGGCAUGUGCUUUCACAAUUUUAAUAGACCUUACCGUUUAUUCACUUUUGGCGAAAUGGCCUCGUUUUCGUGUUUGCCAGUUUUGGCACGACUGGCGCACAUGAAGGUUUAUAUUUCCAUGUUUCCUCACGAUUUGGUUCCUGGUUGAUCUUAAGCCCGAUAACAAGUACUUUCUUAACCCUAUUGUGCACGAAACACAAGUAAAAACCUGACACGAAAACGAGGCCGUUGGGUCAAACGUCAAUAUGUAGAGGAUAUUACACGGCGGCGCGAAGACAUGACUUUUAUCUUCGAGUGGUGAAAACAAUAUUUUACGAACGAGCGCAGCGAGUGAGUAAAAUAUUCUUUUUAACACGAGAAGAUAAAAGUCAUAUCUUCAAGCCACCGUGAAAUGUUCUGUUUAUUAUAUAGUCCCAAGCAAAAAAUUGUGAAAUUUCACGCUCCAAAGAAAAUUGGAAAAAGUCACGUGAUCGAUAUCUUCACUAGUGAAGAUAUGGAAAUAUCUCACUGUGUAUUUUUCAGUAUCUCACUCUCUACUAUAUAAUAAAAAAACGGUAAGUUCUAUUCGCUUGCUGCUAUAAGUGUCAACAUUUCUGAACGUCUUUGAUGACCAUCUGUUGUCCAAUGAAAUCCACAUAUAGCGUGGUGACGAGGUAUAUUGUCUACCAGAGUACCUGUAGUCCAUUGCACCUCAAGAAGAACUGACGCUUUCUUUGUUCAGCCUUUAUGAGAUUUCUUGUAGCCUUGUUGAAUAUUCAAACCUUGUUAAGCGAUGAUGUUCCUAAUAAAACGAGAAGUAUCCGCUAUAGCACUUAGUCACUUUAUGUUUUAUUCAAUCAUCUUCUUUCUUGUGG